GUGAACGCUGGCGGUAGGCCUAACACAUGCAAGUCGCACGGCAGCACAGUAAGAGCUUGCUCUUACGGGUGGCGAGUGGCGGACGGGUGAGGAAUACAUCGGAAUCUACUUUUUCGUGGGGAUAACGUAGGGAAACUUACGCUAAUACCGCAUACGACCUACGGGUGAAAGCAGGGGAUCUUCGGACCUUGCGCGAUUGAAUGAGCCGAUGUCGGAUUAGCUAGUUGGCGGGGUAAAGGCCCACCAAGGCGACGAUCCGUAGCUGGUCUGAGAGGAUGAUCAGCCACACUGGAACUGAGACACGGUCCAGACUCCUACGGGAGGCAGCAGUGGGGAAUAUUGGACAAUGGGCGCAAGCCUGAUCCAGCCAUACCGCGUGGGUGAAGAGGGCCUUCGGGUUGUAAAGCCCUUUUGUUGGGAAAGAAAAGCAGCAGGUUAAUACCCCGCUGUUCUGACGGUACCCAAAGAAUAAGCACCGGCUAACUUCGUG
rnacentral:rRNA from 1 species